GCUGAAACGCUGACAGUUUUUUUACUAGUGAACGACUGACGUUUGACAUUCGAUUGAGAGUGUUCUGUGUUCCAUUUGUUUAUGUUUUUAUUCUUUGUUUAUAUAAUUUAUAACCUAAACCUAGACAGUUUUGUUUUUAUUUUAAAUAAAACUGAAACUGUCUAAACUAAAAUGGAUAAUAUUCUUGAAGAACUUUUGUUUGGGGACGAAAUUAGCAAAUGCCGUUAUACAUUUAGCAGAUGUACCUACCUCAAAUUAUUCCAGAAGGAUGAGAUGAAAUUAAAUAUAUAUAAACCAUAAUUCAAUAUCCAAUUUAGAGAACAUUUUCGUAUGUCCAGAACUACUUUCCAGGUAAAAUUGUAUAACAAAUUAAUAACAUCAUGUAUAUUAUAUUGUUAUAUUUCCAGGAACGGUGCCGUGGCAGUUAGUAGGCAUUCGCAUCGGGUAAAAUUUUUUGGAAAAUAUGAAAAUAUACAUUGUUUUAAGCUAUUUUCCCGAAAAAAAUUUGCGGAUUACUCAUUCAUUUAAAUAAAAAUCAACUUUAAAAAUUGGUUUUUUCCAUACAUAACCUUACUAAUUUCAGACAUAUUUUCCCCAAAUAGAAGUGUAUAUUUUAUAUUUGUAGGUACUGACCUUUUAUUUAUAUCUUAUUAAUCCAUAUUAGUGCGGUAUAAUUCAUUAUUUUUAUUAGAAUACUGGAUUAUAUUGAAAAUAUUAUAAUCCAACAAAAUUUUAAAUUCUCUCUGUCAACAUUUUUGCAAUCAAGUAAUCAAAAUCACAACACAAAAUCACAAAAUGUUUAUGACAUUUAGAUCGACAUUCGACAACGACUGUGCUAGGUUGCCAAUUUUUAUCGUAAGGUUUUCUGUUUCAAAUAUUGAUGUAAUUUAAAAUUUUAAGGCCCGGUCUUUUCACCUCCGAAUAAAUAUGCUCUUAUCUGGCAGUUAGCUAUCUGGAGGAUAAAUAUUUAUUCGCCAGAUAAAAUGUACCCGUCUUUUCACGUCAAUUUAUGUUCCAGUUAGUUAUCCGGUAGAUAAGCUUAAAACUUUAACUUAACCUAACAUAAUUAGAUUCAAAGUAUUUCAAAGAUGAUUUUAUCGAUUUUAUUUCCAUUUUGGAAGAAGGAAUGAAGGAAAUAAGGAAAACAUUGAUUAUGCUGAAAUAGUUUACUGGAGAGCUUGAACAAGAGGUAAAUCCAUUUUAAAUUAGAGGAAAACUGUUGAUUUGUAUGUAAAAUAGAAGACAAAGACAAGUUUAAAUAAAGACAAGCUAGCUAAUGAAACAGAUGCAGUGAUAUGACAAACACCUAGAAGAUGGAAUCCUGUGUUCUCAAAGAAAAAGCUAGUUCCAGAAAUAAGCUACCAAUAAUAAACUAGAGAAUGUAUUACAAGAAAGAACAACGCUAAUACCCAACAUAGCUCAAUUGCUUCAGAUAGAAAAAGAGGAGGAAAGGGUAGAACACAAGCGUGCCAGAGAAAAUUAAAGGGCAGAAGAGACACAAAAAUUCAUUGAUUUAUUAAAUUUAAUAAUUAAAUUAUACAAAGGACAAUUAAAUAAAGAAUAAAAAAUUA
rnacentral:lncRNA from 1 species